GACCGGCCAUGACCGCCCUAUGAACCAGUCCUGUCCGUUCUGUGGAACCGCUCAUGUCAUUCCUGGUCAUCUCAUGCCUGAAGGAUCGGCCGUGUCUGUCCUAAGGGAUCGAUCAUGUCAUCCCUGAGGCACGGAUCAUCUCAUCCCUAAGAGGGACCGGUCAUGUCCUCCCUGAGGGACCGACUGUGUUUUCCCUGAGGGACCAGUUAUGUUCUCCCUGAGGGACCGAUUGUGUUUUCCCUGAGGGACCAGUUAUGUCCUCCCUGAGGGACCGGUCAUGUCCUCCCUGGGGGAGUGAUCGUGUCCUCCCUGAGGGAUCGGCCGUGUCUGCCCUGAGCGGUGAGAUGACCCUGCUGUCCUCAGAGGCAACGCUGAGGAGAACCAGCAGCUCCACACAAAAACAACCGCGUCACCUCUCGCUGUCACACCAAAUCACAGUGGCUGUGGUGAAAAAAGGACCGUGACAAAAGCCCCUGCUGAAAACUGCACAGCUCAACCCUUAAGAGACACACUUCAACGAGACACGCAGGACAGAGGUUUGAAACCAGAGGUUUCCCCCCAUUGCACUGGCGGUAAAGACAAUUCGGGGACGCUGCGCUUUGAGGUGGAUCCCACCGAGGCCAGGCCCAGCAGCAUUGGGAAGAGCUGUUCCUGCUGAAAUCAGGACCAGGUUGGACCAAAGGUGCUGGAAAAAUCAGAG